UGACGCUGGCGGUAGGCUUAACACAUGCAAGUCGAGCGAGAAAGUAUCUUCGGAUAUGAGUAGAGCGGCGGACGGGUGAGUAACGCGUAGGAAUCUACCUAGUAGAAGGGGAUAGCCCGGGGAAACUCGGAUUAAUACCGUAUACCUCCUAAGGGAGAAAGAGGGCCUCUCUUGAUGCUCUCGCUAUUAGAUGAGCCUGCGUAAGAUUAGCUUGUUGGUAAGGUAAUGGCUUACCAAGGCUACGAUCUUUAGCUGGUCUGAGAGGACGAUCAGCCACAUUGGGACUGAGACACGGCCCAGACUCCUACGGGAGGCAGCAGUGGGGAAUAUUGGACAAUGGGCGCAAGCCUGAUCCAGCCAUACCGCGUGUGUGAAGAAGGCCUUCGGGUUGUAAAGCACUUUAAGCAGGGAGAAAAAGUUAUAAGUUAAUACCUUAUAACCGUGAUGUUACCUGCAGAAUAAGCACCGGCUAAUUCCGUGCCAGCAGCCGCGGUAAUACGGAAGGUGCAAGCGUUAAUCGGAAUUACUGGGCGUAAAGCGCGCGUAGGUGGUUUGUUAAGUUGGAUGUGAAAGCCCUGGGCUCAACCUAGGAACUGCAUCCAAAACUAACUCACUAGAGUACGAUAGAGGGAGGUAGAAUUCAUAGUGUAGCGGUGGAAUGCGUAGAUAUUAUGAAGAAUACCAGUGGCGAAGGCGGCCUCCUGGAUCUGUACUGACACUGAGGUGCGAAAGCGUGGGUAGCGAACAGGAUUAGAUACCCUGGUAGUCCACGCCGUAAACGAUGACAACUAGCUGUUGGGAGAUAAUGUCUUUCAGUGGCGCAGCUAACGUUUUAAGUUGUCCGCC
rnacentral:rRNA from 1 species